rnacentral:rRNA from 1 species
AGGAGAGGAAAAGCGGAAUUCUUUAUGUGUAAGCGGGUGAACUGCGUAGAUAUUAGGAGGAACACCCAGUGGCGGAAGGCGGCUUUCUUGACUUGUUAACUGACCUUGAGGCACGAAAGGCUUGGGGAGCAAACCAGGAUUAGAUAUCCCUAGUAGUUCACGCUUGUAAUCGGUGAACACUAGGUGUGGGAGGUGUAAUACCUUUCCCGUGCCGUAGUUAACGCGUUAAGUGUUCCGCCCUGGGAAGUACGGCCGCAAAGGUUGAAACUC